rnacentral:rRNA from 1 species
GCUCGAGUGGCGAACGGGUGAGUAACACGUGAGUAACCUGCCCUUGACUUUGGGAUAACUUCAGGGAACUGGGGCUAAUACCGGAUAGAGCUCCUGCUGCAUGGUGGGGGUUGGAAAGUUUCGGCGGUUGGGGAUGGACUCGCGGCUUAUCAGCUUGUUGGUGGGGUAGUGGCUUACCAAGGCUUUGACGGGUAGCCGGCCUGAGAGGGUGACCGGCCACAUUGGGACUGAGAUACGGCCCAG